rnacentral:rRNA from 1 species
GACGAACGCUGGCGGCGUGCUUAACACAUGCAAGUCGUACGGUAAGGCCCUUUCGGGGGUACACGAGUGGCGAACGGGUGAGUAACACGUGAGUAACCUGCCCACAACUUUGGGAUAACGCUAGGAAACUGGUGCUAAUACUGGAUAUGUGCUCCUGCUGCAUGGUGGGGGUUGGAAAGCUCCGGCGGUUGUGGAUGGACUCGCGGCCUAUCAGCUUGUUGGUGGGGUAGUGGCCUACCAAGGCGGCGACGGGUAGCCGGCCUGAGAGGGUGACCGGCCACCAUGGGACUGAGAGACGGCCCAGGCGCCCACCGGGCGCAAGCGUGGGGAAUAUUGCCCAAUGGGGGCGAGCCUGAGGCAACCACGGCCGGGUCGGGAAGACGGCCUUCGGGUUGUAAACCGCUUUCAGCAGGGACGAAGCUUUUUGUGACGGUACCUGCAGAAGAAGCACCGGCUAACUACGUG